GUGCCCGAGGCCAUCAGGACCCCAUGCCUGGUCCUCCUCUGUCAUAGGGACAGGAGGCCAGUCCUCAUAGCCAGCUGACGUUUGGGGUCUUUUCCGCACGCCAACCGCUGUUCUGGGUGUUUCUACAUGUCUUAGUUGCUAAAGUCUCAUGACAGAGUCUCCAUGUCUCCCGUUCCUGGCAGGUGAGAGGCCGCACACGCAGGACUGUGACACAGACGCUAAUCAGGGUGGACACACCCAGUGACAAGGACCUGUCCACCGUGCCUGUCAGUGUGGCCCUGGCAGCUGCUAGCUGGGCCUGACUGCCCACGCACAUUCUCUCCAGACAGAGCCCACGGCGGGCUGGCGCCCUGCAGCCAGAGCCUGACCCUGAGGCCACUCUCCUGCAAGGACCUCCCUUCCAGGAGGGACAGGGCCACGCUGAGGACAAGAGAGCAAUGGAGGGGAUCCGGGGAGAACGACUCUCCUUCGGGAAGCGGCUGCCUGGGGGAGGAGCCAAUGUGGAGGGAGGGCCGGUGGAGCCCUGGCUCGGCCUGGGGAAUGCGCCUGAGCGCCCCCCGCAGCCCGGCCACCACACCCAGGAAGGACCACUUCCCUUCACGCUCUGCCCUGGGAGUCCACCAAGCUGGGGCAGCCCAUGAGGCCCGAAAGCUGCUGGGCUGCUGACUUUGAGCUGAUCCUGGGCCGGCGUCCUGAGGGAAGGCCCCACCAUGGGACAGCAAGGUCAGAAAAGAGUCGCAAAGGGUCCUCGAGGGUCCCCGUGGCCUUGCCUCCUGAAUCUUCCCCUCACUGGCCUCUAGUGCCCCCUUCCCUUCCUCCUCCUCCUCUCUUGGCCCCACUUCCAACAGUCGCCUGCUCUCCUGAACCCUGACCUCCAGGGUCACGUGAGUCUUCUUGAACUGGGCUAUUUUGGCUAUACAAUUCUACAAGCUUGUCUCCACGAACACUGACCUUGGACAACCUGACGGUCAUUAAAUGUUCUUCACAGUCAUGACUCAAGGACACACGGGAUUUCCCCAGACGGCGGUCUCAUGAUCGGCUCCUCGUUGGGAGGUGCUUGUUGCCUCUGGGAUUUUGCUACAAAGAAUUAAACGUCUUUCUGCGUCCGGCCUGGGCAGGGACUCUGGUCAUUUCCUAGGAUGGCUUCCUAAGGUGGAAUUGCUGGGCCGCAGAGCAUGCGUUUACCCCAAAGGCUGUGAGUGAGUGUGGUGGGGCAGGGGGACCAUCUCAAACCGAUGGAGGAGUGGACGGAGCAGAGCAAGGACAGUUUCUGACUGGAAUGCUCCAUUUUCCCUACAAACCAGGACGCGGUGCUGUGUCAGGACAGUCAACCGCCAGCGUUGAAUCAGGGAGCCGACACCGACGCGUUGUGAUGCAUCUGGUUAACCUCAGCUCCAGCCCCAGUGGGCUCUGCCGUGUGUCCUGACACUGUCUAUACCAGCGCAGGGCCCAGUUCAGAGGCACGUGCCCCUGGUCUGUUGGCUCCUGAGUCUUGUCUUGCGGCCUGUGAUCCCAGAACAUGAGGAGAUUACGGAUCAAGGUUGGCCCUGAACUUGUUUAGGAAGAGAAUGAAGGUAGCAGAGGAAGCAGAACGGGGGCCAUCUCGACGGCGUUCGUCAGUUAGCGCCUGCAGGAAAUCUGCCCAUGGUCCACCACCAAAGAGCUUGGAAACGCCUCAUUCUCAACGUCACAUUGGUCUGUGCUCUUCUGCUGACACAGAUGGCGAUUCUCGGGCUGCACCAGCUCCUCGCAGGCUUGAGCUUCACGCUGUGGUUGACCAUCUGACACAGACGGCGAUUCUCGGGCUGCACCAGCUCCUCGCAGGCUUGAGCUUCACGCUGUGGUUGACCAUCUGGUGCAGCAGCUCGGUCCUCGAUAGCCGUCUCUCAAACACUGUGGUUCUUCGCGUUGACUUGCGCUUCCAGACAAGCUCUGCGUCACAUCGGCAGGUUUAAGAGCCGCACGUGACUUUGCUCUGACUUACGCUCAGUCUUUAAACCUGAGAGUUCUCUCUCUGUCCCGUCGUUGCCUCCAGGUGACGUGUCUCCUUCGUGAGCUUCUCCAUGUCAAGCCUCUGCCUUUCCGGGACCUUUGCUCGCCUGCCGUGCUGCACGUCCGCUUGGGUCUGGCAGGAGACGUCCUGAUAGGAAGGGCCACCACGGCGCCCUGGGGAAAGACUCCUGGAGGCUCUCGGGCAGCCCUGCCUGAGGUCACUUGGCGGGCAGGAGUCCUGGUCCUCGUCCCGCCCGCUCCCGUGCCCCACACUUGCCAGAAACGCCCGUGUGGUCCCACGGUUACUCACCCUUGCCCCAGCGCCCUGUGCUGUGGCAUCUGUGUCUCUUUCCUUUGGCUUUGUUUGUUUGCUCUUUACACAUUUUCUAACUUUCCAGUGUUUCAGUGAGAGGAAGGGCAGGGACAGCACUGAACGCCACCAGCCCAGGUCAUCUCUCACAGCGCAGCCUUAAAAAGAGCCAAGGGCACCCCUACCAUGUCUCAAUGGCGUUCACUCACUUAAGGAGCAAAUGAAGGCCAAGCUCCAUCUUCCCACGUCCUGCGAAGGCUGAGAGUGACUGUAGCCUCUCCACCACAGAGGCCGGGCUCCUAUGGUCAGCCGUGGCCCUGGGACACCUCCCCCUGCUCAGGCAACGGGCAUGGAGACCUGGGAAAAUCCCUCUCCCCAUGACCUGGGUCAAGAAGCCCCAGGGCCCCUUGGGAGCUGGCUCCGCCCUGUGUCCCCAGUGAUAUGCGUCUGGGGCUUCCUGCCGG
ensembl:lncRNA